AGGAGGAGAGAGGACGAGGCAUCAGGACAAUCCCACUCUCAAGUCCUGAUGCCUAAUGCUAACCCAAUCCCACUCUCAGGUCCUGAUGCCUAAUGCUAACCCAAUCCCACUCUCAGGUCCUGAUGCCUAAUGCUAACCCAAUCCCACUCUCAGGUCCUGAUGCCUAAUGCUAACCCAAUCCCACUCUCAGGUCCUGAUGCCUAAUGCUAACCCAAUCCCACUCUCAGGUCCUGAUGCCUAAUGCUAACCCAAUCACACUCUGCUAAUGUGAUGCCACUCUCACUUAAUAACCUUUUACUGCAGUGGGCUAAAUCAGGGUCAUAGUGUUUCUUGGUAGACUUAAACAAAUCUACUUUGAAGCAAAAGUAUACACAUCACACACAUGGUUAUGGGUUUAAAGAAAGAAGAUAUAGAGUUAAAAUUGAUUAACUUUUGAGUUUGCAUCCCAAUAUUAUGCUUUAUAUACAUCACAGAAGACUAAAAUAUAUCAACCGUUUGACAUAGAAACACCUGAUCUCAUAAUUGAAGUAUUGACAACUCAACAAACAGAUUGAUUGGUUAAGUCCCUUUAUGUCAAGGAUAUUGUUUUCUUUAAUCCCCUACAGAUAGAUCUCUAAGGAGUUAAAAGCUCAUUCGACCCACAUCCAAAGGGCUAAAAGGAAGGAUGUUCCUACAUUCUACAUUUACAUUUUAGUCAUUUAGCAGACGCUCUUAUCCAGAGCGACUUA